UGAGCAGUAAACUCCUUAAACUUGGAUCCAUCAGGGAGACUGGGGAAGGUCUCACUUCUUUCUUGAUGCCUGAUUUAAUUGCCUUUCUAAUUGCCUGAUUUAUUGUGGACCGGUUUUACCUCACCCCUCAGAACAGUUUAAAGUGGUGUUUCUUAGAAAAGAGAAAAUGUAUCUUUAAAUAAUGAGUACUUUUUCUGCAGUUGUACUUUCUGUCUCACGAUCUCCGUGUGCAUGAGGUGUAUCAUUCCCUCCCCGUGAAGAGUUAAUUUGUUUUAUCCCUAUCUUAAUAGUGGGGAAAUUGAGGCCUGAAAAACUGCACAGGUAAUGCAUGAGAAAUCCAUGAAUAUACCCCUGACUUUGUAAAUUCUGAAGUCAUCCUCCCUUCUCCACAAACAUAAGAUUAAGGAACCAGUUAUUGAUGAAAAUUCUUUGUUUUAAUGGCGAUUUCCUCUCUCUUCCUUUUAGGGGAAUUUCUUUUUGAUUUGCUUUCCACUCAUUUAUCUGCAGUUUAAAUCCAGUAACAAAAAAAUUAAAUUACUUUCUGCUGAGAACAAGGUCAUGUGUCUGAGCUCCGCUCUGUCCCGGAGAACUUGGGCUGUUCCCCUUUGCCAUCCAGAGUUUCUGAACGGAGCCUGAAAGCAAAAGAGUCCUGAGGGUUUUGUCAUGAGCUUUUGUUGCGGCAACACUCUCAAAUGUCUGUGCCUUGGACGCCUCAAAUCCAGCAUCCUUGGAGAGCCUUUUAUC
rnacentral:lncRNA from 1 species